rnacentral:sRNA from 1 species
AGCGACGAAACAAGUGAAGCCGGAGGAACUCAUCGACAGAAUGGCUCAACAAUGGGUGAAAGUGAGGCUCCACUGGAUGAUCAAUUUACAUUUAUGAAUGCAUAUCAAAAGGAUGCUUUUCUAGUAUUCCGUGCUCUUUGUAUUCUUGCACAGAAGGAAGAAGGUGGUGCAUCAAAUGAAAUGAGCCUUCGAUCGAAACUUCUUGCACUGGAAAUGCUUCUUCUUGUACUCCAAAACUCUUCAUCAAUCCUUCAAUCCUCCCAGCCGUGUAUAAUAGUUAUUAAACGAACGUUGUGUAUGGCAUUAACCCGUAACGCGGUUAGCAAUAAUAUUCAAGUAUUUGAAAAGUCGCUGGCCAUAUUUGUGGAGCUAUUGGACAAAUUUAAAACACAUCUCAAAGCUUCGAUUGAGGUUUUCUUUAAUAGUGUCAUUCUUCCGAUGCUUGAUUCGAAUACGUGUGCUUUUGAACAGAAAUGGAUUGUUCUUAAUACAAUUGG